UACGUAGGGUGCGAGCGUUAAUCGGAAUUACUGGGCGUAAAGCGUGCGCAGGCGGUGAGCUGUGUCCGAUGUGAAAGCCCCGGGCUUAACCUGGGAAUGGCAUUGGAAACUGGCUCGCUGGAGUGUGGCAGAGGGGGGUGGAAUUCCGCGUGUAGCAGUGAAAUGCGUAGAGAUGCGGCGGAACACCGAUGGCGAAGGCAGCCCCCUGGGCUGAGAUUGACGCUCAGGCACGAAAGCGUGGGGAGCAAACAGG
rnacentral:rRNA from 1 species